rnacentral:rRNA from 1 species
AUUUAACGCUGGCGGCAGGCCUAACACAUGCAAGUCGAGCGGAGAGACGGACGGGCGAGUAAUGCCUGGGAAUCUGCAUGAUAGUGGGGGAUAACGUCCGGAAAAGGGCGCUAAUACCGCAUCCUAUCAGAUGAGCCUAGGUCGGCUUAGCUAGUUGGUGGGGUAAAGGCCUACCAAGGCGACGAUCCGUAGCUGGUCUGAAAGGAUGAUCAGUCGAACUGGAACUGAGACACGGUCCAGACUCCUACGGGAGGCAGCAGUGGGGAAUAUUGCACAAUGGGCGAAAGCCUGAUCCAGCCAUGCCGCGUGUGUGAAGAAGGUCUUCGGAUUGUAAAGCCCUUUAAGUUGGGAGGCGUUACCAACAGAAUAAGCACCGGCUAACUUCGUGCCAGCAGCCGCGGUAAUAC